UACGAACCGAGCGAACGUUGUUCGGAAUCACUGGGCUUAAAGGGCGCGUAGGCGGGCUGUCAAGUCUGGGGUGAAAUCCCGCGGCUCAACCGUGGAACUGCCUCAGAUACUGACGGCCUCGAGGGAGGUAGGGGCGAGCGGAACUGUGAGUGGAGCGGUGAAAUGCGUUGAUAUUCACAGGAACUCCGGUGGCGAAGGCGGCUCGCUGGACCUUUUCUGACGCUGAGGCGCGAAAGCUAGGGGAGCAAACGGG
rnacentral:rRNA from 1 species